GAUGAAGAACGCAGCGAAAUGCGAUAAGUAAUGUGAAUUGCAGAAUUCAGUGAAUCAUCGAAUCUUUGAACGCACCUUGCGCCUUUUGGUAUUCCGAAAGGCACACCUGUUUGAGCGUCAUGAAUACCUCAAUCUCCUUCUUUUCUUCGGAUUGAUGGGUGACUUGGAUGUUGAGCCCUGCUGGUAUGCUAUAUCAGCCGGCUUUAAACUUAUUAGCCGGCUCUGUACUGGAUCGGUUUGACUCGACGUGAUAAUAUUAUCGUUGAGGAUGCAUGUCUCAUGCAGCCGGAAAGUAUCAAAGCAGCUUCUAGCUUGCCUUUAGUGCACUUUUACAUUUAGACCUCAGAUCAGGUGGGACUACCCGCUGAACUUAAGCAUAUCAAUAAGCGGAGGA
rnacentral:misc_RNA from 1 species